rnacentral:rRNA from 1 species
AUUGAACGCUGGCGGCAGGCCUAACACAUGCAAGUCGAACGAGUGGCGGACGGGUGAGUAAUGUCUGGGAAACUGCCCGAUGGAGGGGGAUAACUGCUGGAAACGGUAGCUAAUACCGCAUACCAUCGGAUGUGCCCAGAUGGGAUUAGCUAGUAGGUGGGGUAACGGCUCACCUAGGCGACGAUCACUAGCUGGUCUGAGAGGAGGACCGGCCAAACGGGAACUGAGACACGGUCAAGACUCUGACGGGAGGCAGCAGUGGGGAACAUUGCACAAUGGGCGCAAGCUUGACGCACAAAUGCCGCGUGUAUGAAGAAGGCCUUCGGGUGGUAAAGUACUUUCAGCGAGGAGGCGUUACUCGCAGAAGAAGCACCGGCUAACUCCGUGCCAGCAGCCGCGGUAAUUC